rnacentral:rRNA from 1 species
UUUAAAGUCUAAUCUGCCCUAUGAGGUAUUAAAUGGCCGCGGUACUUUGACCGUGCAAAGGUAGCAUAAUAAUUAGUUUUUUAAUUGAAAGCUGGAAUGAACGAUUGGACGAGAAAAUAACUGUCUCAAUUUAAUUUUUUUUGAAUUUUAUUUUUAAGUAAGAAAGCUUAAAUUUAAUUAAAAGACGAGAAGACCCUAUAGAGUUUUAUAUUUAAUAUAAUAUUAGUUUUUUAGUAGAAUUUUAUUGGUAUUAUUUUAAUUAUUUUAUUGGGGUGAUAGAAAAAUAUUAUUAACUUUUUUUAGUAUUAGACAUUAAUUUAUGAUUAAUUGAUCCAUUAGUUAUGAUUAAAAGAAUAAGUUACCUUAGGGAUAACAGCGUAAUUUUUUUUUAGAGUUCUUAUCGAAAAGAAAGAUUGCGACCUCGAUGUUGGAUUAAAAUAAAUGUUUGGUGUAGAAGCUAAAUAAUUAGGUCUGUUCGACCUUUAAAAUUUUACAUGAUCUGAGUUUAAACCGGCGUAAGCCAGGUUGGUUUCUAUCUUUAAUUCAUUUAAAUAUUUUAGUACGAAAGGACCAAAUAUUUUUAAUAAUUAUUGAUUUUUGAAUAAUAAUAG